rnacentral:rRNA from 1 species
AUGCUCCGCCUCCGCAGCUCCAUCCUCGCCCACCUCCUCUCAUCUCCAGCCACCUCUCCCGUAUCCCCUCUCCACCGCCUCCUCUCAGCCGCAGCGCCAGCCAUCUCCACCCCGACCACCGGGUUCGCCGUGGAGGACUACCUCGUCAGCACCUGCGGCCUCACCCGACCCCAAGCCCUCAAGGCCUCCGCCAAGCUCUCCCACCUCAGGUCCCCUGCCAAGCCCGAAGCCGUCCUCGCCUUCCUCGCCGGCCUCGGCCUCUCCGCCGGCGAUGUCGCCGCCCUCGUCGCCAAGGACCCGCAGUUCCUCUGCGCCAGCGUGGAGAGAACACUGGCGCCCGUCGCCGCGGGGCUCUCCGGCCUCGGCUUAUCGCGAUCUGACAUCUCGCGCCUCGUCUCGGUUACUGCCGGCCUCUUCCGGCAUAGAUCCAUCGUCUCCAACGUACAGUACUGUCUGCCCCUCCUCGGCUCCUUCGAGAACCUCUUACACGCGGUCAGCCAUGGCUCCAGCCUUGUCGGAUCUGAUCUCGAGCGGGUGGUCAAGCCCAAUGUCGCUCUCCUGCAAGAGAGUGGGCUAGGUGUUUGUGAUAUUGCCAAGCUGUGCCUCAAUAGGCCACGGCUGCUCAGCAGCAACCCAGAGCGCGUCCAGGCGGCGUUGGCGUCCGCCGAAGCACUCGGUGUACCCCGUGGAUCCGGGAUGUUCAGGUAUGCGAUUGAAGCUGUUGCAUCCUUCACCGAGGAGAAGAUCGCUGCCAGAGUGGACUACUUGAAGAAGACAUUCAGGUGGUCGGAUGCCGACGUGAGCAUUGCUGUGUGUAAGGCUCCGAAUUUGAUCGCAAAAUCAAAGGAAUCACUGCAGUGCAGGUCUGAAUUCCUCAUCUCUGAGGUGGGGUUGGAACCGGCCUACCUCGCUCAACGUCCGGCAAUGGUCUGUUACAGCCUACAGGGCCGGAUGAGACCCCGGUACCACGUUGUAAAGUUUCUCAAGGAAAAUGGAUUGGUCAAGCACGACCCGAGCUACUAUACUGUUUUCAAGGAGAGCGAGAAGUAUUUCGUGGAUAAGUUCAUAUGCCCUCACAAGGAAGCUGCACCACACCUUGCAGAAGAUUAUGCCGCCGCUUGCAGAGGGGAAGUGCCCGCUAGAUUCAGAUUUACAUGA